UUUCCGUAGGUGAACCAGCGGAAGGAUCAUUACAAAAUGUUAUGGGAUGACCUACCGGGCACCCAACCAAACACAUCCAUAUUAAACUUUUGAAACAAUUACUAGUCUGAUAAGGCCCUAUGCUGUAAAAAUUUAAAUAUAUUAAAACUUUCAACAACGGAUCUCUUGGCUCUC
rnacentral:misc_RNA from 1 species